rnacentral:rRNA from 1 species
UCAGGAUGAACGCUGGCGGCGUGCCUAAUACAUGCAAGUCGAGCGAACAGAUAAGGAGCUUGCUCCUUGACGUUAGCGGCGGACGGGUGAGUAACACGUGGGUAACCUACCUAUAAGACUGGGAUAACUUCGGGAAACCGGAGCUAAUACCGGAUAACAUUUGGAACCGCAUGGUUCUAAAGUGAAAGAUGGUUUUUGCUAUCACUUAUAGAUGGACCCGCGCCGUAUUAGCUAGUUGGUAAGGUAACGGCUUACCAAGGCGACGAUACGUAGCCGACCUGAGAGGGUGAUCGGCCACACUGGAACUGAGACACGGUCCAGACUCCUACGGGAGGCAGCAGUAGGGAAUCUUCCGCAAUGGGCGAAAGCCUGACGGAGCAACGCCGCGUGAGUGAAUGAAGGGUUUCGGCUCGUAAAACUCUGUUAUUAGGGAAGAACAAAUGUGUAACGUAACUGUGCACGUCUUGACGGUACCUAAUCAGAAAGCCACGGCUAACUACGUGCCAGCAGCUGC